UACGGAGGGUGCAAGCGUUAUCCGGAAUCACUGGGUUUAAAGGGUGCGUAGGCGGUUCGAUAAGUCAGAGGUGAAAGCUAGCAGCUUAACUGUUAAAUUGCCUUUGAUACUGUCGGACUUGAAUCAGGUUGAGGUAGGCGGAAUGUGACAUGUAGCGGUGAAAUGCAUAGAUAUGUCAUAGAACACCAAUUGCGUAGGCAGCUUGCUGGGCCUGUAUUGACGCUGAGGCACGAAAGCGUGGGGAUCAAACAGGAUUAGAUACCCUGGUAGUCCACGCCCUAAACGAUGUUAACUCGAUAUUUAUUCUUCGGAGUGAGUGUCCAAGCGAAAGCGUUAAGUUAACCACCUGGGGAGUACGUUCGCAAGAAUGAA
rnacentral:rRNA from 1 species